rnacentral:rRNA from 1 species
UACGGAGGGGGCAAGCGUUAUUCGGAUUUACUGGGCGUAAAGGGUGUGUAGGCGGUCGCGCAAGUCUGGUGUGAAAUCUUCACCACUCAACGGGAAGAGGUCACUGGAAACUGCAUGACUUGAGUUUGGUAGAGGCUAGCGGAAUUCCUGGUGUAGCGGUGGAAUGUGUAGAUAUCAGGAAGAGCACCUGUGGCGAAGGCGGCUAGCUGGGCCAAUACUGACGCUGAGACACGAAAGCGUGGGGAGCAAACGGG